rnacentral:rRNA from 1 species
GAUGACGUUGAUAGGCUAUAGAUGUAAAGGUGGUAACAUCAAAGUCGAGUAGUACUAAUUGCCCGUAAGCUUUAUUUUU